UACAGAGGGGGCAAGCGUUAUUCGGAAUUAUUGGGCGUAAAGGGCGCGUAGGCGGCUUUGCAAGUGACGGGUGAAAUCCCUCGGCUUAACCGAGGAACUGCCUGUCAGACUGUGAGGCUUGAGACCGGGAGAGGUGAGUGGAAUUCCUGGUGUAGCGGUGAAAUGCGCAGAUAUCAGGAAGAACACCAAUGGCGAAGGCAGCUCUCUGGGACGGUACUGACGCUGAGGCGCGAAAGCGUGGGGAGCGAACAGG
rnacentral:rRNA from 1 species